CAUGAUGGCCAGGCUGGUCUUGAACUCCUGACCUCGGGUGAUCCACCAACCUCGGCCUCCCAAAGUGCUAGGAUUACAGGUGUGAGCCACCGUGCCCGGCAUAAGAUUUUUCAGGAAAAAGUAUGUCGUCCUCGUGAAAGCGGGCAGCGGCAGGCCAGGGUCCUGGAGCCCCGGCCUGGGAUGCUGGCCUGCGGCCGCACCCAGCUCCCCAGCACGCCCCGCCCGGCUGGCCGCUUGCAGCCCCAAAGGUCAGGGCGCUUUGUCUGCGCCGCAGGCCGCUUCCUGAGCAGCCCCGCAGAGGAGGCGCAGCCGUGAAGGAGAAGGCGGGUAGAGGCCUUGGCCACUCAAAUCUCCCGCUCGCCCAGCCUGCCCGGCGUGCCAGGGCGUGGUGGUUACACGGCUGGGCGUGUCCGGAGCGGUCAGGCUUCCCGUUUUUAAGGUGGAGACGUCCAGGACCUCUUUAUUAGAUGUUUAGGAAUUUGAGUUUUUACGUCGGGCCGUAGUCAACAUGCGCCCCUGUGGGGCAGGCUGGGCUAACUGGGGUUUCGAUUUUAAGUUUCGUAUGGCCAAGGGCAUGUCUGAAGGGGAAGAACGUUCUUGGUGUUGCUUCUUAGUUGUUGGGAGCUGUGAGGUGCGAGAGAGAUGGGCGGCGUGUGCUCCCGAGGACUGCCCUCAGUGAGCUUGGACUAGUUACUCACGGGACUUGGUUUACCAGCCAAGGAGAUAAAGACAUUCAGAUGGUAGAUAACACUUUUUCAGAUGGGGUUCCUUCAGAUUCCAUGGAAGCUGCUAAAAAUGCAAGUAAUACAGAAAAGCUCACAGAUCAUGUGAUGCGGAAUCCUUGAGUUAGGGCCGCUUUACAGGAACGACUUGACUAUGCCCCUUACACCCCUUCCAGCUACAGCGAAACUUUACCUAAAGCAGUAAAAAGAAGAAUUAAUGCAUUGAAACAACUUCAGGUGAGAUGUGCCCUCGUGGAAGCCAAGUUCUAUGAAGAAGUUCGUGACUUAGAAAGUGUGCAGCAUCAUACCAGCCUCUCUUUGACAAGGGAAGAGAAUUUAUCAUCCGCGAUGUUGAACCGACAGAUGCGGAAUCAGAAUGGCACAGUGAAAAUGAAGAGGAAGAGAGAUUGGUAGGAGACAUGAAAGAAAAAGCAGUCCUAGCAGAAGCAGCAGCAGUAACAGCUGAAGAGCCAAAUCCCAAAGGCGUUCUAGAGUUCUGGUUUACCAUCUUUAGAAAUGUAGCUAUGCUAAGCGAAUUAGUUCAGGAAUAUGAUGAACUAAUCUUCAAAAACCCGCAGGAUAUUAAAGUAAAGUUUUCUGACCCUGGACAGCCUGUCUUUUGUGUGAGAGUUCCACUUUGAACCCAAUGACUACUUCACCAACUCAGUCCUGACAGAAACCUACAAGAUGAAAUCAGAACCAGAUAAGGCUGAUCCCUUUUCCUUCGAAUGUCCUGAGAUUGUGAACUGACAGGUGUAGUAUUGCUGGAAGAAAGGAAAGCAUGUUACUGUCAAAACUGUCAAGAAAAAGCAGAAACAUAGGCGUCGAGGCACUGUUAGAACAAUUACAAAACAAGUACCCAAUGAAUCAUUUUUCAGCUUCGUCAAUCCACUGAAAGCAUCCGGGGAUGGAGAAUCACUGCAUGAAGGUUCUGGAUUCACAUCAGCCUCUGAUUUUGAAAUUGGACACUUUUUCUGUGAGCCAGUGGAUAGUCCCAUGGGCUGUGCUGUACUUCACUGGGGACGCCAUAGAGGAUGAUGACAGUCUUGAAGAAGGUGAAAAGAGGAGGAAUUAGAAGGUGACAAGGGGGGAGAAGAUGAGGAUGAUGCGGGAAUUAACCCCAAGAAGGAACCCAGCUAGCCGGUGGAAUGCAAGCAGCGGUAGGAAGCGAAGGCAGGCGCCUGGCCUACCGGCUACUGGGACUCCAGGCCUGUGGGCGGGGCUUGGUGUGGGCGGGGCCUCGGUCCUUGCCGCAUCAACAGCUCUUCCAUCUAACAAGUUUUCAAGUGCAAGAUUUUCACUUUCACUUUUUCUUUUUCCUUAUUAUUUUGCUUAACUUGUACAGUGACCACUGAAAUAUGUUUCAGAAAUGGGAGUUUUCAUCCAGCACCCUCUGCUGCCUUGGUGCCGGUAGCUUUGGACUUGCCUGGGCCUUUCUCUGUGGGAGGGCCCAUAGACCACAUCGGGGUGGGAUAGGGGUCACUUGGCAAAAAGGACCGAAGUCUGGUGAUGUGGUUCCAGAACCUAGAACCUUUCCUACUACUCCUGCAUUUGGACUGAUUUCUUCCCUUUCAUUUGAAGAAAGCGACUCAUCUGUUUCCAGCCUGCCGAGGGCAGCCUGCGUCACCUGUUGGAUGCUAAUCAUCUCAGAAGGGCUGUGUGGAGUAGGGCCAUGUUCUUAGGACGGUGUUUCUUGAUUUUCUCUUUUUUAGGGGUGAGUUAGGGUUGUGGCACACCAGCUCAGGCGAGAGCUGCCGCAGGUCACCUCCUAUUUAUUUUGCCCUUCUUGCCUGUGAGGACUGCGGUCUUUCACUGUCGCUGCUCUUUACCAUUUCUGCACCACCUUGGUGACCUAACCAGGAAGAUGUGCCACUUCCUAGCAGGAGCAAGGCCUGUGCGGAAAAAGCGCUGCUCCCUGCCACCUGGCUGAAGACACCAGGAGCCUGUCCUGGCGACUCAGGCGCCGCCUUGCUGCUGAGCUGGCAUUCUGUGGUCUUCAACAGUGAGCGGCUGGGCUGGGAAGUCCUGCAUUUCAGUUGAGCAUAUGAGCGUCAAGUCCUGCUUUCUCAGUUGUUCCAUUGCUGGGCCCCACCAUUCAUCCUGUCUGAAGGUCCUGGGUUUGGUGUGACCAGUCGGCGGCCAGCGGGUGGGGUUUCCGAGUGGGUGGCAGCGUUCCCCGGCAGCCGGGGAUGGGCGUGUUGCACUGACCAGGCCUGUGGAGCGUGCUCAGCCUAACCUUGGAACACAUUUGUAACUGCAUACAGUGUUUUCAAUUUGUAGAGAAUAGUUAGAAUAUGCUAUUAAAGUUGUGAAACGUGGAGAAAAAAAAGAAAAAGUGCAAAUGAGUUCCAAUUUAUAACUGAUGUAUUUAAUUUCUGAAGACAGAGAAAAGAUCAAACCCACAGAGGUGUCACUCAAAGGAGCACUGUUUGUACAAGUCACACAAUUGCAAGAAGUUUUUAAAACUAGCUGCAAAGUUAUAAUAGUUAAGCGUGGAGCAAACAUUCCUUUAUUAAUUCCACCUUUUGAGUGUUACAUAAUACCCAAGGCACACGAUAUGGAAAUGUCAUUUGUCAUAAAAGCAGAUAGUUGCUUUAUAAUGGGAACAUGAAAAAAUAAAACCAGUGUGCUUUUGCCUUUUGGUGUAUGUGUGCUGGAUCUAACUGACAAGGAGAAAGAAGAUGACCACAUACAGGCAGAGCAAGCAUAUUGAAAUCUUGAAAAGUUUUAAGUGUUCCAAGAGACAAAGUACUUGAAGGAAUUAAUUUCUGAAUAAGAUCCCUUCAUAGAAUUACAUGGACUAUUUGAGGGGAUUUUCAAAUCCCCUAAACAGUGUUUUGCCCUUGCAAAAUUUUCACUUUAUGUUUGCCGUUACAAUUGAAGACACAAGUAAGAUUACAUUCCCUGUAGAUAGUCUGGUGAAAGAGCAUCAUCAUCAUAUUCCUCUCAUUGAUUUGAAAUAAGUAUCAUUAAUUUGAAAACAUUCUUUUAAUUAUUAAAUAAUGGUGAUUUGUCCUUCUUUUACAUGUUCUUCCAAAUUGAUAGUUCACAUCUAUACAAUAGAGUUUAGAAGUUUGAGGAAUGUUGCUUGAUAGUUCUUAGGUGUUUAAAUCCUGCAGUAGUGUUGACAUCUGAGACGUACAUGUGGGCUUCUGACCCUGGUUUCUGUUAACCAAAUGUUGGAGGACCUUCUCCUUUUAAAAUGCGAACCAGGAGCUGAACUUAAUGAUCUUAUUUGUUCUUUUGAACAACAGUGUAGGAUUUUUUUUUCCGUGAUGAUUUUUGAAUGCAUUUGUGUGGAACCACGUGCACCAUAACAAAUACAACCCAUGAAAGUAUAACAGUUAAAGAGUAGAUCUUACUUUUUCAGGUUUUGAUUUCUCAUCCAAACUUUCUGGUGCUUUAUUAGUGAAGCAAGAUAACUCACAUUGACUUGCCUGCUCUCCUUUAGCAAACCCUUCCAAAUACAUGCCUCAUUUGCUCCUCCCCACUACUAUUUAGAUUGGCCAGACAGUUCACCUUUUAAGAAUGAGGAGACAGAUUCAACCAGGUGGGGUAACUUGCCCAAGGUCACUUAAGUUUUGGAGAUAGAAUUAAAAUAUAGGUCUUUGAAUUCUAGAGUGUUUUUGUAUGAUACUGUCCUGACUUUCUAUACAUCUCAAAUCAAAUUUUAAAGUUUUCUUUGAUUUAUUCACAGGAGUCAGCUGGAGAAACCCAUACCAGGUAGAUAUACAUAGAUAUUGGUCAGAUGUAACUUAACUUUUUACUGCAUUAUCUCGUGUUUCUUGUAACAUUUUGUCUAGUAGGACCUUUUUGUGGUUGGUGGUCACUUUAGUCAUGACAUCUACUGUCAUACCAUCACUGCAACCCAGAAAUCGGGUGGUGGUGUUAUUAACUAGUUAAACAUAAUCUAAAGAAGAAUUUUAGAGACAGUUAAGAUUGAAGAUAGAGUUCUUGUCCACCUCAUAUUGUAUCGGGGGGAUGAACUAAUAUUUACUGAAGGCCUGCUCCACAACAAACUCCUAUAAAUGAUUUACAUAAAUGCAUGACAUUUAAUCCACACAACAAACUAGUGGUGUGGGAAUUACAAAGGAGGAAUCUGAGGCACAGUGAGGUUAGGUAACUUGACUGAGUAUGCACAUUUACUAAGAGCAAAGCCGGGAUUUGACAUCCAACUCCAUCUGAACUCAAAGUACUGUGUCUUCCCUACCGUACUGGUGAAGUGAAAGUAAGAAGAUGACUCAAAGAUGUACAGUUAUAAUCUAGAAUUUGGAAUUUACUUCCUUUGGUAAACCAUUUGAAAAUUGCAGCUCAAGGCUUUGGGAGAUGGAAGAAAGCUAGCGAGCAAUUAUUUCUUGCCUUUGUGCCAUGCUUCCAUGGUUUGCUCCUCCUUAUCUCCUUAUCUGCAGUCAGUGUAAAUGGCAUGUCAGUUUUAUGCCUGUACUACAGAUGUUCACAAACUUCAAGGUCAGAAAGCUGGUUUAUGGCAGCACCUGAAUAUAGACGGACUUACACAGAUCAGAAAAUGGAGAAGUUGAGGGUAGGAGAACAUUCUGGAUAGAAAAGAACAUGGGAUUGGGACCCCAGACCUGAUUUCAUUGCUUACCGGCAGUGUGAAUGUGGGAGAUUACAUGGCAUGAAACAUCUGUGAGCUUCAGCUCCUUUAUCCAUACAAUGGGGAUAAUAAUACUUACUUUAUAAAGGCUGAGGAAAGUAAAUAAAAUAACGUGGGAAAGAGUAUUGAUGAUGGUUAGUCACUGUAAAAUUGUUAGCUGUUAUUCAGGAUACAAGGAAGAGUUUCAAGAGAGGAUGCUUGGUAUAACAUUAUAUACAAAAUGGUUUAAGGAGGACAGUGUAGAAGAGAUUGUACAUUUGGCACUUAGGAGGUUGUUUUUGACAGUCCUUGUGAGAAGAUGAGGGUAGGAACUAUAUUCCUAGGCUUUAAGUAAGAAGAGGGGUAGUCCAAUAGGCCAGUUAUGUAUUUGCCCGUGAAAAGAAGAAAAGAAAAUCUAAGUACGUUUGAGAGUCAAAGGUUAUUUCCAGGUAAAGAAACCCAAGGACUUCACCAUUCUCUCAUAGAUAAGAAGUAGGAUUCUUAUCUCUCAUAGAUAUGAAGUAGGAUGGGAAGAAGUAGGAUGAUUGUAAGACUCUCCACAUUGAUACAGAAUUCUAAAGGGGAGCCCAGGAAAAGAGCACAUUUUUUGAAGGGGUAGGCAAAAGGACAUUCUCUAGAGUAUCCGUUUCCAACUGUUGUCCACAUUUAUGGACCAAGAACAUAAAAGAAACAUUGUUCAGCUCCGACCUGAACUUAUGCAGAACAAACAUUGUUCUGAGUUCAGCUAGAUAAUCUUUCUUUCAUAGCUGAGGUGGAUAUUAUGUUACCUGCAGGGAGUAAGUCACUGAAGGGCCCUGAAGGUAGAGCCUCAGAAAAACACCCUUUGAUCUUACCCCUGAGAUAAAUGAGAGCAAUUGGAAAAAAUUAAUCAUACAAACACAAUAAUAUGGGGAAGUAGGAAAAAAGAGAAGAAGGAAAGAAAUUCAACAUAGGAAAUAACAUUAUGUAGGCUGAGAUGAAGAAUGUUAAGAAUAUUUGAACAAAGUUUGAACCAGAUGAGAUGUAACUGGCAAAAACAGAAGUAGGAGAAUUUUUGGACUGAUUUAAGUUGAUCUCUUGUGACUUUUAUAGAUUUCCACUGGGAAGGAUAGUGAUUAAGAAUGUGCCCUUUCCUUUUAAAAAUUGAGAAAGAAGGCUACGUGCAGUGGCUUAUGCCUAUAAUCCCAACACUUUGUGAGGCCAAGGCAGGAGGAUUGCUUGAGGCCGAGAGUUCAAGACCAGCCUGGGCAACAUAGGGAGACCCUAUCUCUACUAAAAAUUAAAAGAUUACCCAGGUGUUGUGGCAUGUGCCUGUAGUCCUAGCUAUUUGGGAGACUGAGGUGGGAGGAUCACUUGAGCCUGGGGGUUUAAAUAAAUCAAGUCAAUAAUUGAUAAUCUUCUAAAACAGAAAGCACCAGGUUCAGAUGGGUUCACUGGUGAAUUCUACCAGACAUUUAAGGAGGAAAUUAUAUAAUUCUCUGUAAUCUCUUUUAGAAGAUAGAAUAAAUUGUAUCAAUUCUCUAUAAUCUCUUUUAGAAGAUAGAAGCAGAGGGCAUACUUUCUAACUCAUUUUAUGAGGCCAGCAUUAUUCUUGUGCUAAAGCCAAAGAACAGCACAAGAAAAGAAAACUAAAGACAAAUGUUUCUCAUGAACACACAUGUAAAAAUCUUCAACAAAAUAUUAGCAAGUUGGAUCCAACAGCAUAUAGAAAGAAUUAUACAUUGUGACUAAGUGGGAUUUAUUUCAGGUGUGCAAGGCAGGUUCAGCAUAUGAAAAUCAAUUAAUGUAAUAUCUAUCACAUUGACAAACUAUGAAAGAAAAAUCACAUGAUCAUGCCAAUAGAUACAGAAAAAGCAUUUGACAAAAUCCAAUAUCAAUUUAUGAUAAAAACUUUCAUAAACUAGGAAUAGAGGGGAACUUUUUAAACUUGUUAACAAAUGCCUACAAAAAAACUCUGCAGCUACCUAACAUCAUCUAUAAUGGUGAGAAACUUGAAGCUUUCCUACUAAGACCAGGAACAAGGAAAGAAUGUUUCUCUCACCACUCCUUUUCAACAUUGUACUAUAAACACUAGCUAAUGCCAUAAGAUAAGUAAAGGAAAUAAAAAUUAUACAGAUUGAAAAGAAAGAAAAUUAUUUUAGUUCUCAGAUGACAUGAAUAUCUAUAUAUACAGUCCAAAAGAAUUGACAAAAAACCUCCUGGAACUAAUAAAAAACUACAGCAAGUUUGCAGGAUACAAAGUUAAUAUACAAAAGUCAAUCACUUUUCUAUGUAUCAGCAAUGAACAAGUAGAAUUUGAAGUUUAAAACAUAAGACCAUUUACAUUAGCACCCCAAAAAUGCAAUACUUAGGUAUAAGCCUAACAAAAUAUGUACCAGAUUUAUAUGGGAAAAUCAAUAAAACUGAUUAACAAAAUCAAAGAUGAACUAAAUAAAUGGAGAGAUAUUCUAUGUUCAUAGAUAGGAAGACUCCAUAUUGUGAAGAUGUCAGUUAUUUCUAACUUGAUCUAUAAAGUGCAUUCCCAAGCAAAAUAUCAGAAGUCAUUUGUGGAUAUCAGCAAACUGAUUUCAAAGUUAAAUGGGCAGGCAAAAGAGCAGAAUGACCAGCAAAAUACUGAAGGAGAACAAAAUUGGAGGACUGAUACUACUCAACUUCAAGACUUACUGUAAAGCUCCAGUAAUCAACAUACUGUGGUAUUGGUGGAAAAAUAAGAGAAAUAGAUCAGUGAAACAGAAUAGAGAGCCCAGAAAUAGACCAACAUAAUAUAUUCAACUGUUCUUUCGAUGAAAGAGCAAAGGCAAUACGAUGGAGCAAAGGUGAUCUUUUCAACAAAUAAUGCUGUAAAAACUGGACAUCCACAUGCAAAAAAAAAAAAAAAAAAAGUCUAAACACAGACCUUAUACCCUUGACAAAAUUUUACUCAAAAUGAACUGUAGAUCUAAAUGUAAAAUGCAAAACUAUAAGAUUCCUAAAAAGAAAACCUAGGUAACUUUGGAUAUGGUGAUGACUUUUUAGAUACAACACCAAAGACAUGAUUCAUGAAAGAAAGAAUAAGUAAGCUGUACUUCAUUAAAAUUAAAAACAUUGCUGUGUGAAAGGCAAUUUCAAGAGAAUGAGAAGCCAAGCCACAGACUGGGAGAAAAUAUUUGCAAAAGACACAUCUGAUAAAGGACUGUUAUC